AAAUUGAAGAGUUUGAUCAUGGCUCAGAUUGAACGCUGGCGGCAGGCCUAACACAUGCAAGUCGAACGGUAGCACAGAGGAGCUUGCUCCUUGGGUGACGAGUGGCGGACGGGUGAGUAAUGUCUGGGAAACUGCCCGAUGGAGGGGGAUAACUACUGGAAACGGUAGCUAAUACCGCAUAACGUCGCAAGACCAAAGAGGGGGACCUUCGGGCCUCUU
rnacentral:rRNA from 1 species